rnacentral:rRNA from 1 species
CGCCUACGGGACGCAGCAGUAGGGAAUCUUCCACAAUGGACGAAAGUCUGAUGGAGCAACGCCGCGUGAGUGAAGAAGGGUUUCGGCUCGUAAAGCUCUGUUGGUAGUGAAGAAAGAUAGAGGUAGUAACUGGCCUUUAUUUGACGGUAAUUACUUAGAAAGUCACGGCUAACUACGCGCCAGCAGCCGCGGUAAUACGUAGGUGGCAAGCGUUGUCCGGAUUUAUUGGGCGUAAAGCGAGUGCAGGCGGGUCAAUCAGUCUGAUGUGAGAGCCUUCGGGUCUACCGGGGAAAU